UAGAGUAUGAGUUUCUUAUUCUUGAUAUCAUUGUUGCUUGGAGAAUUUAUUUCAAAAUGUUCAAAAUUCUAGCUACCAUCCUCAGUGUUUUAUAUGCCUGAUAAAACUAAAAUAUUAAUUAUGAUUAUAAAAGCUAUCUACUCUGUAUUGAGUUUGUUCAAAAUGAGUUAGACCCUUGUUGAGAGAUUUAUCAUGCUCCCAAGAUCAAGACACUAUUUCAGUAAGAUUCACUCUUCCGAAGUAUUAUUGCAUUAGAGGCAUGGGCUAUGCAAAAAUAAGAUAUUUCGAGGAAAUAAAAAGGAGCAAGUGCUCGACAACCUCGCAGAAAAAAAUGGACAAGUGUCCGGCAGUAGAAUUAGGGGUACCUCGGUAUCCACUUAAAAAAAAUGAUAGGCCAUGGUCCCUCUAAUAAGCAAUAUGCCAGCAAGAGUUGACAAAGUUCUUAAUUUCUAAAGCCUUUGAUCUAAGAGUAUGACAUUCCCCUCCUCGGAUCCCGUUUUGAUCAAGCAAUAAAUGCAAAGUAAGAAUGCUUGAGAAUUUUUGCAAAAUUAAAACAGCCUCAGUGAGAUAUAUAAAAGAUAAUGAGUGAUCUGAGAUAACCUAUGAGGAUAAAAAGGUAUGCUAACUUUCUUUCAAAAAAAUAUACAAAAAAAAAACUCCAAGUGACAGGAUUGAGAAGAAAGGAUCUUUACUCUUAAUCAUACACUUCCCUGACUAUGGUACACAGUGGAAUUUUUAACACCCUGCAAUUAUAAAGAGAAUGUUUUAAAUGUUUACCCCAGAUAUUUUUUAACCAUCCUUUUCUCGAGGACGAGUAAAAGCCUAAGUAUGGGGGUAUUUGUUGACGGUUCUUAAGUAUCAAUUUUAAUUAUCAAAUAAACAAGAGAAAGGACCAAUAUGCAACUCACACAUAGAAUUAGGGUUUGAUCUGACAGAAUUCCACGAGUUUUGUUGUUUAUCUGUUUCUGCAGGGGGUUAUCAGGAAAUAAGGAAGAAAGGCCCACAUGUCAGGAUUACAUAGAGAUAUCAACGCACCGCGCAAUUUUACAUCAUCUAGAAGACUCCAGAAGCCACGAGACCGAAGCGGAGGCCAAACUGGGCCAGGCCCAGGGCGCCCGCCCUGGAAGCCUGGGCGCCCGCCCCCCUGCUGGAGCCAAUUCAGGACUCCUUCGCUCGGGAUAUUCCACCGACCUAUU
rnacentral:lncRNA from 1 species